GAAUCUUGAUAAAAAGUAUAUAGGUCCCUAGUGUACUAUUCUUACAGAUUAUCUAAAUUUUAGAUUUGUAAUAAAAAUUGUGGAGGAAGAAAAUUAUAAGAAGAUAAGACAAUGCAAAAGAAAAUUUAGAGAAAUAAAUAAAAAUGGACCAACAGGAAUUCAGAAGGCACUGAAUCUCAGUAAACUGGAUGAAAAGGAAGCAGCUUUGAGAGCAGGGAAAAGGAAAAAUCCAAACAGAACCUUCCAUGUAACUGGCUCAUACAAUCCAGGCAGCACAGAGCACACCUGUGAGUGAGAGAAAACGAGGUCUUUGUGGGCUUUGAAAAAUAAACCGCUCAAGGGCGUUUUAGUACAAGACCAGUUCAGAAAGAAAGCAUAAAUGCCCAGGAAAGGAUUUUUUCAUUCCAAG
rnacentral:lncRNA from 1 species